GAUGAAGGACGCAGCGAAAUGCGAUAAGUAAUGCGAAUUGCAGAAUUCCAGUGAGUCAUCGAAUCUUUGAACGCACAUUGCGCCCUUUGGUAUUCCGAAGGGCAUGCCUGUUCGAGCGUCAUUAUCACCCCUCAAGCCCUCGGCUUGGUGUUGGACGGUUUGGUGGAGGCCCCCUCGGGGGCUCCUGCCCCUCCCAAAGACAAUGACGGCGGCCUCGUUGGACCCCCGGUACACUGAGUUCUUCACGGGACACGUAUCGGACACAUGGGUUUACGGGACACGGUCUGCCUCCCCUCAGGGAGAAUCUUUCUAAGGUUGACCUCGGAUCAGGUAGGGAUACCCGCUGAACUUAAGCAUAUCAAUAAGCGGAGGA
rnacentral:misc_RNA from 1 species